GAUGAAGAACGCAGCGAAAUGCGAUAAGUAAUGUGAAUUGUAGAAUUCAGUGAAUCAUCGAAUCUUUGAACGCACAUUGCGCCCGCCAGUAUUCUGGCGGGCAUGCCUGUUCGAGCGUCAUUUCAACCCUCAAGCCCCCGGGCUUGGUGUUGGGGAUCGGCGUGCCCUCGCGGCGCGCCGUCCCCUAAAUCUAGUGGCGGUCUCGCUGUAGCUUCCUCUGCGUAGUAGCAACACUCGCACUGGAUCGCAGCGCGGCCACGCCGUUAAACCCCCCACUUCUGAAAGUUUGACCUCGGAUCAGGUAGGAAUACCCGCUGAACUUAAGCAUAUCAAUAAGCGGAGGA
rnacentral:misc_RNA from 1 species